GGUUGUUCUGCUCUGUCUGUGGGGGUGACAGUGGGUGUAACCUCUGUGUAUGAACCAAAAUUAUCUGUACUGGUUUAUACCGAGCCCAGAGCCAAGCUCUGGAAGUAGCCACUCCAUAGUGUACACUUUAAACAUCUUUUCAGCUGAUACUUGCACAAGAUACUGAGAAAUGCAUAGUGAGGACCUCAGGUGCCUGUGAGCAGCAUGGCUGGCAUGGCACCACUCAUUUCCCUCUUUGCGCAGAAAUCUUUCUCUCGAACUGAAAUUUCACAAUGAAUUUACAUUUAUCAAGAUAAAGUUUGCAUGCAAAUUUUGUUCGAUAUGUUAUUGAGAACAUGACCGGUUGAGCAUAUUUCUGUGUAUUUCCUUUCUCUCUUUUGAGUGGACUAUGGGGGCAACAUCCUUGAAGGACACGGAAGUAACUACAUGCCAACAGAGUCUAGAUGACAAGGUUUCAGAAACAGCUGGGGUGCACAAGGGAUGUUCUUUGCCUGUGGAAAGUCCAUGCUCUCCCUCCAAGCUGAUUGGGAAGAGUGUUUGAUAGGAGGACACAGGGGAUGCAGAGGGACCCAAAUGCUCAUGCAUGUUGCCCACACAAUUCUGCAUUGCUUGGGUACCCACACACUUUCUCUGUGAGGAGACAGCUGAGUGAUUAUCCCUCAGACCAUCAGGAAGAACACAGUGGCAAUGGAAAGGAAAUCUGCAGCUUCUUUCUGGGACCACUGCUUCUUCAAGGACUGAGUGGAGUGUUUGAAGAUGCUCUGAGCUGCAGUCUCAGUCUCUCUCUACCUGCUGGCAUGGAAGAAAACAGAGUCUCUCACCUUCCUCUUGCUGCAUAGCAGCAUGGGAGAGUCUUGCUCACUGAAUGAAAGAAGAAGCGGGAAGAAGGAAAUGAAUAGCUGAGUCACUAUUGCAGAAAGAAGCUUCAGGGAGAACGGAAGGGGGCUGGCCGUGUAUCUUGGAGACAAAGCACAAAUGUGGUGGUGGAUAGUUGCAGAGACAGAAGAUCCUGUCCAUCUCACAGAGCAUGUGGAGUAACCAGGGAGCCCCUGCCCAGGGAUGCUGGCAACUUUCAGUGGGUUCCAGCUUCCAUGGGAGCUAUAUGCUAUAAGUCAGCUAUACAAACAAGGAAGAAAAAAUGGCUGAGACAGAGAAAGUGAUUUGUUAAUACUAAUAAUUGGAAAACUGCUUAAUAGCUGAAGAUGCUAUGGGUAUGGAUAAAUAAAAAUCUGGUGAGGAGGGUACCAGUUACAAUACUAGUUAGUCCUGUCAGGAUGUUGAUAAUCCUUCGCUGUGAUCUAUGGAAGAGAAAACUAAUCUGUACUGAUGUUUUGAGCACUAGUCCUAUAUGUGUCCUGCUUUUUUACUUCCAUACACAAUUUAUCAAUACAAGAAACUGCACAUGUAGUGGUGGCAAGUACAGAUUAAUUCAAAUUAUAGAUUAGUUCUUGAGUCUAACUUUUAGGCUGUUCUCCAAGGGUCCCUGUAAUGGAGAAAAAAAAUUAUGCAUGUCCUUUUUUUUGAAGGAAAAGUCUUCUAAUUCUUCCUACAGCAAAAUAAAGAAAGCAGUACUGUUGGAGUUGAAACGGUGUGCAAGCAUUAAGUAUUAAUAAACAAGUAAUUAUCAUAACAAUAACCCUAAUGAAAAGCACUAGGUUGUAUUUCCAGAAGGUUAUGCUGUGCAAAGAUGGAAAGAGAUUUCAUGCAGUUCAUUGCCCUGCCUGUGCAGGACAGUUUCUAGGCUGAAGAAUUCAACAGUUACUGAACUGAACACUAACUUAUCUUGGCCUCUGCAGCUCUGCCUUUACCAGUAAAAGCAACUGUGGAAUGAAUAGAGCUAGGCAAAACACCAGUGUGCUUGCAAGCAAGAAUACUGGCCUCAAGGAUUUUGAUGUAGAACUGUUUUUCUGUGCAAAGGAAUCUGAAAGAAACCUUCACAUGUUUUUGUCUGAGUCUGCUGGUGAAAAAUAUCCUAGGCCAUCACGUCAGACUUCUAUAUUUUCCCAAAUCUCAGAUUCCCAUUUUUUCCCUGAGUUAACACUCCAUAAACAAAUACAAUUUUAGGUUCUCAUUCAAAUUGCUGGACGAAUUUCCAUUAGUGCCUGUACUAAACUUCAUGCAGAUCUUUUCAUGGUCCUGAUUAUUUUGUAAACUCCAGGACUGCAGGAAAGUGAUACUCCAUUCACCCAAUGAAUAAAGCUUAUUAAGGUCAGCUCUUCCUCUGACCAUUCACUUGGGCUUCUGAGUUCUUUUGGCAUAUGAGCCGUAGCUAACAUCAUAUAUUCAUGACAGACUGGGUAGAUGAGGGGAAAGCAGUGGAUAUUGUCUUCUUUGACUUCAGCGAGGCUUUUGGCACUAUCUCUCACAACUUCCUUGUAGGUAAGCUUAGGAAGUAUGGGAUACAUGAGUGGACAGUGAGGUGGAUUAAAUAAGAACUGGUUGACUGUCAGAGCUCAAAAUGUAGUGAUCAGUGGCACACAGCGUCUAGGUGGAGGCCUGUAGUUAGUGGUGUUACCGAGGGGUUCGUUCUGGGUUUGGUUUGUUUAACAUCUUUAUCAGUGACCUGAGCAAAGGGAUAGGAUACUUCCCCAGAAAGUUUGAUGAUGAUAUGAAGCUGGGAGGAGUGGCUCACACCAGAACGCCUUGCUGUCAUUCAUCAAGACCUGGAUAGUCUGGAGAGUUGGGCAGAAAGGAAACUGAUGAGGUUCCACGAGAGCAAGUUCAAAGUCCUACACCCAGGAAGGAGUAACUGCAUACGUUAGUACAGGUUAGAGGCUGACCUGAUGGAAAGAAGCUCUGCAGAGAAGGCCCUGGCUUUAUUGCUGGACAACAGGUUGACCAUAAGUCACCAAUGUACCCUUGUGGCCAAGAAGGUCAAUCAGGUAUCCUGGGAUGCAUUGAAAAGAUUGUAGAUAGCAGGUCAAGGGAGGUUCUCCUCCCUCUCUACUCUACCCUAGUGA